UACGAAGGGGGCUAGCAUUGCUCGGAAUCACUGGGCGUAAAGCGCACGUAGGCGGAUUGCUAAGUCAGGGGUGAAAUCCUGGAGCUCAACUCCAGAACUGCCUUUGAUACUGGCGAUCUCGAGUCCGGGAGAGGUGAGUGGAACUGCGAGUGUAGAGGUGAAAUUCGUAGAUAUUAGGAAGAACACCAGUGGCGAAGGCGGCUCACUGGCCCGGUACUGACGCUGAGGCGCGAAAGCGUGGGGAGCAAACAGG
rnacentral:rRNA from 1 species